rnacentral:rRNA from 1 species
UGGGGAAUAUUGCACAAUGGAGGGAACUCUGAUGCAGCGACGCCGCGUGAACGAAGAAGGCUUUCGAGUCGUAAAGUUCUUUCAUAUGGGAAGAUAAUGACGGUACCAUAAGAAAAAGCCCCGGCUAACUACGUGCCAGCAGCCUGGGUAAUACGUAGGGGGCUAGCGUUGUCCGGAAUCACUGGGCGUAAAGGGUUUGCAGGCGGAAAUGCAAGUCAGGUGUAAAAGGCAGUAGCUUAACUACUGUAAGCAUUUGAAACUGCAUAUCUUAAGAAGAAUGGAGAUAAGUGGAAUUUUUAGUGUAGCAGUGAAAUGCGUUGAUAUUAAAAAGAAUGCCGGUGGCGAGGGCGACUUACUGGGCACAUUCUGACGCUGAGGAACGAGAGCGUGGGAAGCAAACAGG